ACUCCUACGGGAGGCAGCAGUGGGGAAUAUUGGACAAUGGGCGCAAGCCUGAUCCAGCCAUGCCGCGUGUGUGAAGAAGGCCUUCGGGUUGUAAAGCACUUUAAGCGGGGAGGAAGGUUCGACACCUAAUACGUGUCGGAAUUGACGUUACCCGCAGAAUAAGCACCGGCUAACUCUGUGCCAGCAGCCGCGGUAAU
rnacentral:rRNA from 1 species